GUGGAAAUUAAUGAACAGAAGCAGCAUCUAACUUAAAAAGAAAUGCUGCAUGCAGCCUACCCUACCAAUGUCCUUGGUUAUUCAAGGACUGCAUAGGUUCUUGAGGUCAUCCUCCUUUGCAUACCAGCUUGGUAUAAUCCUUGCAGCAUAGGGAUAGAGGUCCUUGUAGGAAUUCCUAAUGGUCCCUUCUGCUACUCCUGUA
rnacentral:misc_RNA from 1 species